UGGCUAUGAGGAUAAAUCGUAGAUAUGACUUUUUUACGGUGAUUCACCUAUACGCUAUUCUGAGCCAAAC